UACGUAGGGUGCAAGCGUUAAUCGGAAUUACUGGGCGUAAAGCGUGCGCAGGCGGUUUUGUAAGUCUGACGUGAAAUCCCCGGGCUUAACCUGGGAAUUGCGUUGGAGACUGCAAGGCUGGAGUCUGGCAGAGGGGGGUAGAAUUCCACGUGUAGCAGUGAAAUGCGUAGAGAUGUGGAGGAACACCGAUGGCGAAGGCAGCCCCCUGGGUCAAGACUGACGCUCAUGCUCGAAAGCGUGGGGAGCAAACAGG
rnacentral:rRNA from 1 species